AGCUUAUCAAGAGAGAUUGAGGGAUUUGGCCCGAUGACGUCUCAGCAACCAGCUACAUGUAGUAUGGUGCUAAUUCCAAUAGGCGAUAGCCUUAAAGAUGAGCG
rnacentral:ncRNA from 2 species